ACGGGAGGCAGCAGUGGGGAAUAUUGGACAAUGGGGGAAACCCUGAUCCAGCGACGCCGCGUGAGUGAAGAAGUAUUUCGGUAUGUAAAGCUCUAUCAGCAAGGAAGAAAAUGACGGUACUUGACUAAGAAGCUCCGGCUAAAUACGUGCCAGCAGCCGCGGUAAUACGUAUGGAGCAAGCGUUAUCCGGAUUUACUGGGUGUAAAGGGAGCGUAGACGGCAAAGCAAGUCUGAAGUGAAAUGCGGGGGCUUAACCCCUGAACUGCUUUGGAAACUGUUUAGCUAGAGUGCAGGAGAGGUAAGCGGAAUUCCUAGUGUAGCGGUGAAAUGCGUAGAUAUUAGGAGGAACACCAGUGGCGAAGGCGGCUUGCUGGACGAUAACUGACGUUGAGGCUCGAAAGCGUGGGGUGCAAACAGGAUUAGAUACCCUGGUA
rnacentral:rRNA from 1 species